rnacentral:rRNA from 1 species
CUCGUAGGCGGCCAACUAAGUCGGAUGUGAAAUCCCCAGGCUUAACCUGGGAACUGCAUCCGAUACUGGAUGGCUUGAAUCCGGGAGAGGGAUGCAGAAUUCCAGGUGUAGCGGUGAAAUGCGUAGAUAUCUGGAGGAAUACCGGUGGCGAAGGCGGCAUCCGGGACCGGCAUUGACGCUGAUGAGCGAAAGCUAGGGGAGCAAACG